CUCCUUGCUACUCUCGGCAAAUGCGUUGGUGAGGGAGGAGCGCAGCGAGGGAGUGGUCAGAGCACCAGCCGAGGGCAGACGCUCUGAUCCCGGGCUUCACCACCGACUGGCAAUCUACUUGUUUCUCUCAGCCUUGGAUUUCUCAUCUGUGAACUAAGGGACUUGGAUUAGAUCAUCUUUAACACCCCUUCCAGUUCUGAAAUUCCAGGAUUCCAUCAGCAUCUGCAUAUGGGGCCGCCGGAAGGUAACAGCAUGGCCUCUCAGCUGGAGCACAACCCUGCCAAUUCUGGCUGCAGGAAAAUUCAAAUUGUCUUAAAUGCUCAACGGCCAUGGCUCACGGGCCCAGCCACCGGAUUUUCCCAGACUGGGGCACGAACCCGUGUCCCCUGAAUCGGCAGGCGGACUCUCAACCACUGCGCCACCAGGGAAGCCCAGCAGGUUCUUAUUAGUCAUCAAUUUUAUACACAUCAGUGUAUACAUGUCAAUCCCAAUCACCCAAUUCAUCCCACCCCCACCGCUUUCCCCCCUUGGUGCCCAUACUUUUGUUCUCUACAUCUGUCUCUCAAUUUCUGCCCUGCAAACCGAUUC